UUGAGUAGAGACACCGAAACGCACCUGAUCUUGUCUCAUCUCAGAAGCUAAGCAGGGGCAGGCCUGGUUAGUCCUUGGAUGGGAGGCGUGGCAAGCGGAGGAUCUGCUGUUC
rnacentral:rRNA from 14 species